GAUGAAGAACGCAGCGAAAUGCGAUAAGUAAUGCGAAUUGCAGAAUCCGUGAGUCAUCGAAUCUUUGAACGCACAUUGCGCCCUUUGGUAUUCCGAAGGGCAUGCCUGUUCGAGCGUCAUUAUCACCCCUCAAGCCCCGGCUUGGUGUUGGGCUCUCGGUGGUCGUCUCCGACCACCCGUCUCAAAGAUAGUGACGGCGUCCCAGAGGGAACCAGUACGAGGAGCUUUCACGAGCAUGUACGCGGGACGACUCUGCGGGCGACGGUCUUAUUUACUUUAUAUACAAGUGUUGACCUCGGAUCAGGUAGGAAUACCCGCUGAACUUAAGCAUAUCAAUAAGCGGAGGA
rnacentral:misc_RNA from 1 species